rnacentral:ncRNA from 1 species
AAGAAGGCAAUGAUAGAGAAUAGUAGUGAAACAAUGUUUUAAGAGAGUGGGUCAUUUGGUGAGAGACCUGUAAACUAGUUUUGCGAACCCGCUCUGGAGCAGGUGGCGAUUAAGUCACUACGUUUUAAUCACGAUACGAUUAUUGAGUGAGCCACUAUGGCUAACAAGGGUGGUACCACGGGUAAGUUCUCGUCUCUUAU